rnacentral:rRNA from 1 species
UACAGAGGUGGCAAGCGUUGUUCGGAAUUACUGGGCGUAAAGGGCGCGUAGGCGGCCAUCUAAGUCAGACGUGAAAUCCCCCGGCUUAACCUGGGAACUGCGUCUGAUACUGGACGGCUUGAGUAUGGGAGAGGGAUGUAGAAUUCCAGGUGUAGCGGUGAAAUGCGUAGAUAUCCGGAGGAACACCGGUGGCGAAGGCGGCUUCCUGGACCGACACUGACGCUGAGGCGCGAAAGCUAGGGGAGCAAACGGG